UGUUCUACUUAAAUAUGAAACAUUGAAACAUCCUCUUCUUGAUUCAUGGGUGUAUCAUUUUAUCUUCUUUUUGCAGGAUUCCUCAAGUACCUGGAAAUUCUUCUUUGCUCAUAUUCAAAAUGAGGAAUUGCAGUGCAUAUUGUUGGGCUGGCUGAGAGACAGGGGCAUCCAAAAUGGUGGACAUCUCAAAUUGGGUCAAGAUGGCUGAUCUUCCCACCAAAGCAGCCAUGACCACCACGUCAUCUCCAGUAAAUUGAAACCUAGACGGGAAACCAAAACUUUCCACCCGGGACUUUCCAGGCGGGGACCACUCCCUAUCCUGGACUUUCCCCACCCCCAGCCAAUCACCUAAGGACACGGUGUUCCCUUCCCUAAUUUGGCAAGGGCCCCACCCGGAUCCAGCAAGGCUUAAAAAUCCCUGCACUCCCCAACCCGGUCUGACUUCCCUGACUCUCCUCCCGAGUCGCAGAACCUGGCCCGAGGGUGCUGGCAAUAAAGCU